AACGAACGCUGGCGGCAGGCUUAACACAUGCAAGUCGAACGCCCCGCAAGGGGAGCGGCAGACGGGUGGGUAACGACUGGGAAUCUACCCAUCCCUACGGAAUAGCUCAGGGAGACUGGAUUUAAUACCGUAUACGCACUACGGCGGAAAGAGUUAUAGGGGACGGAUGAGCCCGCAGUGGAUUAGCUAGUGGGAGGGGUAAAGGCCUACCAAGGCGACGAGCCAUAGCUGGUCAGAGAGAAUGAUCAGCCACAUUGGGACUGAGACACGGCCCGAACUCCUACGUGAGGCAGCAGUGGGGAAUAUUGGACAAUGGGGGCAACCCUGAUCCAGCCAUGCCGCGUGAGUGAUGAAGGCCGUAGGGUUGUAAAGCUCUUUCACCGGGGAAGAUAAUGACGGUACCCGGAGAAGAAGCACCGGCUAACUUCGUGCCAGCCGCCGCCGUAA
rnacentral:rRNA from 1 species